CAGUGGCUUUGUUUGAAUUAUUCAGCAAAAAUGAAAUAUGGAAAGCACGUAACCGGACAACAUAAGAAUAGACAGCUUAAAAUACAUCAUUAUGGAGUCGUCUGCUUAUUUGCGACUAGAAAACAUUACUGGACUCAUCUGAAGCCUGAUCUGUCUUUUCGUGACCCUGUAAUGGCCAGAAGCUGUCAGAUGACUCUGCACUGUUUCUACACUGCCAUCACCUGUUACAUUCAUGUUUUUCAGUUUGUUUUCCUUGGGAUUGUAAACAUGAGUCGGUUUUACACAUAUUGACAACAUUUUUUGAUUGGCAAACUGUUUAUUUAAUAGGAGCAGAAAGAGAUCUGACAUAUGUGGCAAUUGCAGAUAUGUCACCAAAAUUGAAGGUUGCUUAUAUACACUGUGUUUUAUUGUGGCUAUAAACUUAAAGGUUUGCAAUAAACACCUCUCAUAUAAUUUAAUAGCUUUUAUAUAUAAUAUUCAGUGCAUAAUGUACUAGAAAUUUAAAUUAAUUCUCAGAAAUGUAUUUUUGGCCGUUCUGUUAUUUCAUUCUUUCUGUAAAAAAAGAGGACUUUUUGAUUUAUGGUAUUUUUAAAAUGCAAAUAUCCAGACCAGUUUGUUCUUUUUAUUUCAGGCAUGUACAGGAAUCGACAACAUUGCUGAAGCAAUCACACUUCUAGAACUCAACAACUGGGACUUGGUGGCAGCCAUCAAUGGAGUCAUACCACAAGAAAAUGGGAUCUUGCAAAGUAAUUUCUCCAGUGAAGCAUCUCAGACCGGCCCAUAUGGACCCCACAGCCAAUCAGAAGCCACAGCACAUACACCCUCAGCCCCGCCUUCUUCUGCAUCUGCAUCAGCAACAGCAUCAUCAUCUUCCUCACCCCCAUCCUCAUCUAGCCCCGCCUUCUGCCCUGUCCAGCCCUCUCGGCACAUCGUGGAACGGCAGUCACGGAUGCUCAAUUUCCGUGUGGAGUACAGACAGCGCUCCAUAGAAGUAGUGCUGGAGGAUGCCAGCACAGUCGGUGAUAUUAAAACUAUUUUAGAGACUGAGCUACAAGUGCCUGUCUCUAAAAUGCAGUUAAAAGGCUGGAAGAGUGGAGAUGUAUCUGACAGUGUAAGAAUGACAGCAUUGAACAUAUGCUAAUCAGAUAAUUGAACAUAUGCUAAUCAAUAAUAUUCAGAUUAUUGGUGCAUUGAUUUUUUUUUUUUAUGCAUUAAUGUGCAUUAAUUUUUUUUUUCUCAAAAUGUAAGACUUAGACAUAUAUAUGUUUAAAUGGCAGUCUCAAAUAUAUGAUAAAUUGUGACUGCCAUAUUUAUGGGUGGGGUUUAUUAUUAUUAUUAGUGGUGAAAUUAGUUAUGUGUCUUUUUGUUUUCAUUAAAUUACUCUUUGUUGUUUUUCUUGUAUGUUGUACCUCUUGUACAGUAGAAAUGGAAAAAAAGGCAACUUCAAAAGCAUUUUUGACCUCUUUGAUGAUUCUCUUCUGUUUCACUUUCUUUCAGACGAUAAUUGCCCCUUAGCCAGCACCGAGCCAGAGCAGGUAUGUCUUUGUAAUGCCCUAAACAUCUAUUUUCUUAUUUUCUGCUUUAACAUUAGGUAAAGCAAGUACAUCGUGUUUGUUUGACUCUUUAGCUUAAAAAAAAAAACACACACACACACACACACACACACACACACACACACACACACACACACACACACACACACACACACACACACACACACACACACACACACACACACACACACACAACAACACACACACACACACACACACACACACACACACACACACACACACACACACACACACACACACACACACACACACACACACACACACACACACACACACAAUUAAUGCACAUAAACUUUCUUGAGUAUACAAAGUUGUCAAACAGGCUUGACAGGCUCUUCUAAAUGAAAGGAUGGACAUCCAUUCCUGUAGUUGACAUUUAUAUAUGAGUGGCCCAUCACAAUAUACAAUCAUUACUCAUAUCCAAAGCCUGAAGUUUGUCUCAGAAUCCAGGCUUAUCCCAUCAUCUAAAAGCUGCCCAUAUAUCUGUUUUAAACUCAAAAAAAUAUGGGCAUUAUUUGUGUUCUUGGUACUUUAAAAUCUUGUAUAAAUGAGGUUGAUGGCAUGACAUUCCCAGGAUUUAGGCAAAGACGUUUAUAAUUUCUGUAGACUCUCCAGUAGAAUUUCUAUAAAUGUUUAUAAUAUAAUGUGUCAAUACACAGCAACGUUUGAAUGGAGAAAGCUGCUUUGUGGCAACAUAAUUUUGUAGUUAGCAUAUCUACCAGCAGGGGCUGACUGGACCUUGUGAACCAGACAAACCUUGAUCCCUUGUGUUUAAGAAAAGUCCCACAUUCACCACUAGGUGGCGUGGCAAGACCACAUUUUAGGCAGUGACAGUAGCUCAGCAUUUUGUGAAGCAUUUUAAUCAACUGAAGAGCUUCUCUGUGUUCAUUUUUAUGUAUUUCUUUAUAUAUAUAAUAUUAUUAUAUAUAUUUGCAAUUCCUUUACAUUUUUUGUUUUUAUUUUUUUAAAGAUAUGAAUACUUUUUUUGUUAUGCAAGGAAGCAUUGAAUAUAUAAAUAUCACAGUCAGGACAUCUAUAAUGUUACAAAAUAAUUAUAUUUCAAGUAAAUGCUGUUCUUUUGAACUUUCUAUUUAUCAAAGAAUCCUGAAAAAACAUAAUUUUCCAGAAAAAUAUUAAGCAGAGCAACUGUUUUCAAAAUGAAUAAUAAUAAGUCAUGUUUAUUGAGCACCAAAUUAGCGUAUUAAAAUGAGUUUUAAAGGAUCAUGUGACACUGAAGACUGGAAAAAUUGCUGCUGAAUUUUUCCUCCAGCUUUGCCAUCACAGUAAUAAAUAGUUUUAACAUCUUAAAAUAAUUAUUUUAAAUUGCAAUAAUAAUUCAUCAAAUUAAAUUUUACUUAUUUGAAAAAAAUCUUACAGACCCUAAAAUUUUAAUGUUAAUGUAUAAAUUGGAUCUGAUAUAGAGUUUAGGAAUUUAGUAAUGCAUAUGUGAAUUUAGAGACUCGAUAUACAUUCCAUUCAAAAAGAACUGAAGAAAAAUAUGGUUGAUUAAUGCCCUAUGUUCUUUAUUUAAAUAAGCAAGACAUUGUGGUCAGAGCAGUGCGAUUCAAAGUAAUAAAUGAAAGUAACUUCAAUUAGAAAGGACUGCAUGUGUGUGUUAUAUUGAUGUGCAUGUGUUUGUGUGUGUAAUUAUGUGUUGAUUAGCACUGCUGUAAGCCCCGGUGGGAAGUGGUGGCGAUGCCGUCGAACGACUGGGUAUAAACUGGCAUCUCUGUCAGCUUGUGUGGACACUGUACUCUAGAGUGUGAAAACAUUCUGCGAAAAGUACUAAAUGGGCUGUAAACUAACAUUGUGAUAACAGUACCCUCCAAAACACAUCAGCACUUAAUUCUUUUCCCUCUUGUUAUUUGGCACCUUUUCAGAUGGCUGCAUUUCAUUUGGUCCACAGGCAAUUUGUGCGUGCAUAUUUUUUGAUUAGCUUUCAUUUUGGAGAUUGCAACAAAAAUACACAUUACUGUGACGUACUGCAUACUGUUGUGCACCACAUUGCUGGUCAGGGGUUUAAUGGAUCUGUUGAGAUCACAUAUAUUAACGUGAUCCUGACAGCUUCUCUCACACGUCUCGUUUUUCCCUAUCGGGCAGGUGACAUGCGCAGAGACCUUGUCACCUCUGUCUUUAAAUGGCACAAUAUCUAAUAUCCAGGACCUACUAGAGCUCAUCAUCAGUGGCAGGAUCUAAUUAUAUCCCAGAAACUAUUUUAGAGGAGUCAAAAUAGGGGAGAAAAAGAGAACGCCGGUGUUAGUUAGGUGUGACCCCAUUGUUGCCCAUGAUUGUCCUCUCCUGGUGCAGUGAGAAGAGGGCUUCCAGGAGGGUGAGCAGACAAGCUGUUAACUGCCUUUAUAAAGAGAAGAGGGCUUCCAGGAGGGUGAGCAGACAAGCUGUUAACUGCCUUUAUAAAUAACUGUCACAGAGAGACGGGCAAAGAGUGAAGUGAAUUUAUUUUAUAUAUAUAUAUAUAUAUAAACAAAUUUUACUGUAUUUUUGCAGUAAAAGAAAUGCAGCCUUGGUGAGCACAAGAGGUUCCUUUAAAAAACUAAAAAAAGUUCUCUAUCAGCUUUUUAGUUUAAAGUUAAGUGUGGGGUCUCAGUAUGCAGGCUGUGAACAAUGGGACAGUACUCAACAAAUAAAAGCCACUGUAGGCAAUUACUGCAAAGCAUACCUCAGCACACCAUAUCCAAACAUAUUAAUCAAACCCAUCUUCACACUGCGCCGCCUGCCUCAUUUUCUUCCCUCUGUUUUGAAUGCAAAUACAGCACAGGCUUUGGAGCUUUCAAGACAGACACUCCAUCCAAGGUAGUUACAGAAAUCCAGUGAUGAGCCAAGCUCAUCUCGCUCGCUCUCCCUCUCAUGGAGGUAUCCAAACCCCUAAUCUCCAGCAUAAAUAAUAGAACUUUAUGAAUAAUUUAAAACGAAUCAUCUAUUUCUGUUGCUUCCAGGAGAUGUGUGUGUUUAAGGUUAUUUUAAUUUGAACUUCUGCUAUUUCAAAUACAAAUGAGCAAAUGAGUCAGUGCGCAUUUGGUAUUUAUCUCAUUUUCUGCAUCUGAUCUCCUGUGAGACUUGGGGGCCUGAGGAAUCUGCUGGUUUUGGCAGAAAGGAAAACUGUUAAACUACAGCAAUUAGUACUUAGACUUGUCAUAUUACUUGGGGGCCCGAGGAAUCUGCUGGUUUUGGCAGAAAGGAAAAACUGUUUAAACUACAGCAAUUAGUACUUAGACUUGUCAAAGCUAAACAGGCAGUGCAGAAAAAACAUUUUGAGUAAGUGGCGGAUGGAAAAAUAAAAUUUUAAAAGAAGGAAAGGGUAUGUUUGUGUUUUUUAGUCUUGGUACAGGUCACCCUAAGAGUGUGUGUAUGAGAAAUUAGAGCAAGAGGUUGGUACUGCGGAAUGAGGAGGAACGAGACGGUAGGACUUUAAUAAAGUCUCAGUCUUGCAGGUUUCUGAGACGGCAGACUUAUCUCUGAAUAAAACCAAUCUGCUCUUCAUUUACACAGUGGUUUAUUUUUUGUCUAUAGCAGCCAGUGACAUUCUAUUUCCAGUGCCUCUGAUGGUGUGGAGAAGCUUUUAGGGUGAUUUGGGGGGGUCAGCUCCAGGUGCUGUUGGGACCACAGAGGGCUGAACCUGGUUAAGCUCCUACAGAUGAACCUUAUGCUGUAGAUCUGUUGUGAGAGGAAAUUUCACAUAGUUUCAACUCCUUAGAGAGAAAAGUUCUACUUUGCAGUUUACUUUUUAACCCACAGUUUCAUAACACCAUCUUAAGGGGGACAAAC
rnacentral:lncRNA from 1 species